rnacentral:tRNA from 1 species
AUGCCCAGAAAAAGGGAUCUAACUCCACCACUACUCCCAAGCUAGUAUUCUAACUAAACUAUUUCCUGACAAUU